rnacentral:rRNA from 1 species
AUGACGUUCACCGACGAGUACAAGGGCGAUAAGGCCGUGGAGGCACACGGCAACACCAAGUUGCACGUCAUCCACACCAACGACAAGAAGCAGAUGGCGAUCUCCCUCGCGCAAACAAACACGAGAGAGCAGAGGAGAGUCAUGGCGGAUGCACCUCUGUACAAGCAGCGCCGCAAGUACACCAAGGAGCUCCACGACAUCCACCUCCACGGCAAUCACAAGCUCCACGUCCUUUGCACAAGCAACGGUAAAGACGUGGACAAGAUGUUGUCCACGUUUAGGAGGAAGCUCGGCGGAAUGCCCGUCAAACUAGUCGGCAUUGAUGUCGAGUACACGCACUACAUGAAGCCACAGCGGGCAGCAGUGCUUCAGCUAUGCAUAGAAAAAGAAUGCCUUGUCUACCACAUCGCUGCAGCUAAUGACAGGCCAAUGGAACUAGACAAAUUCCUCAUGAAUGAUGAGUACACCUUCGUCAGAUUCGCUAUUGAAGGAGACAAAAGCAAGCUGAAGGUAUCUGGUUUGGAGAUCAACUCCGACAACUAUAUUGAUAUUCAGGUGGAAUGGAGAGACCCAUACAAUAAAAAGAAGUUUGACUCUUUGGCUGAUGUUGCCGGCCGAAUGAUAGGCAUCACUACCAUGACAUGA